rnacentral:rRNA from 1 species
UAGUAACGGCGAGUGAAGCGGUAACAGCUCAAAUUUGAAAUCUGGCUCUCGUAGGGCCCGAGUUGUAAUUUGGAGAAAAUGCUUUGGGUGCGGCCCGGGUCUAAGUUCCUUGGAACAGGACGUCAGAGAGGGUGAGAAUCCCGUAUGUGAUUGGGUGCCCGCGCCCGUGUAAAGCUCUUUCGACGAGUCGAGUUGUUUGGGAAUGCAGCUCAAAAUGGGUGGUAUAUUUCAUCUAAAGCUAAAUAUAGGCCAGAGACCGAUAGCGCACAAGUAGAGUGAUCGAAAGAUGAAAAGCACUUUGGAAAGAGAGUUAAACAGUACGUGAAAUUGUUGAAAGGGAAGCGCUUGCAACCAGACUUGCGUGCGGCCCGUCACCUGGUGCUCGCACCGGGGCACUGGGUCGCGCGCAGGCCAGCAUCGGUUUGGGUGGUUGGAGAAAGGCCGGGAGAACGUGGCUCCCCUCCGGGGAGUGUUACAGCUCUCGGUGCCAUGCAGCCUACCCAGACCGAGGACCGCGCUCCGGCUAGGAUGCUGGCGUAAUGGUUGCAAGCGACCCGUCUUGAAACACGGACCAAGGAGUCUAACAUCUAUGC